GCGAGUGAACCGGGAAGAGCUCAAAUUUGAAAUCUGGCUGUCUUCGAUAGUCCGAGUUGUAAUCUAUAGAAGCGUUUUCCGUGCUGAACUGUGUCUAAGUCCUCUGGAACGAGGUAUCAAAGAGGGUGACAAUCCCGUACUUGACACAAUCAUCAGUGCUCUGUGAUACGUUCUCUACGAGUCGAGUUGUUUGGGAAUGCAGCUCAAAAUGGGUGGUAAAUUCCAUCUAAAGCUAAAUAUUGGCGAGAGACCGAUAGCGAACAAGUACCGUGAGGGAAAGAUGAAAAGCACUUUGGAAAGAGAGUUAAACAGUACGUGAAAUUGUUAAAAGGGAAACGAUUGAAGUCAGUCGUGUUUAUUGGAUUCAGCCGGUCUUCGGUGUACUUCCUUUAAACGGGUCAACAUCAGUUUUGUUCGGUGGAUAAAGGCAGUAGGAAUGUGGCUCCCUCGGGAGUGUUAUAGCCUAUUGUCACAUACACUGGAGGAGACUGAGGACUGCAGCUCGCCUUUUUGGCCGGGGUUCGCCCACGUUCGAGCUUAGGAUGUUGACAUAAUGGCUUUAAACGACCC
rnacentral:rRNA from 1 species